ensembl:lncRNA
GAGAAGAAAAACCUAAUCACUGAUAUCUUUAAAACUUCUUCACAGAGUGUGGUGUGCACAGUGCAGGAGUGGAUGUGGUGAAUCCUGCAGGCAAAAAGAACUGUCCUUGUUUGCAGAAAGGACUGUUUUAGUUUGUAACAGUUAUUGUGCUGCUCAUCCAGUUCACUGCAGAUAUUUUUCCCUUACCAAACUAAUAUUUGAGUUCAAAUGUUCACUCUAAUGUCAGGACCUGAUAUAUUUUUACUUCCCCCUUUCUCUUAAUUUUAUUGAUUUUUUUUCUAAGCCAAACAUUCCAUAAAUUAGUUCUAUUAGAAGGCUUAUUGUGGAAUGUGAUAUAAUUGGCAACUGAUUGUUGAUGUAGGAGAUUUAUGUUGGCCUUACAGUAAUAGUUUCUUAUAAUUGAAUACAUAUGUGAUUUCCAGUGUCUAGACUUGGGAACUUUCCCAGGAAGGAGUUCCAGGUGGUUAUCUAACUGUAAUAAGCCAAAUGGCUACCACUCAGUCUGCAGACAUGGGAAAUAUGCAAAUACUACUGGCAAACGUAAUUGUUUCAUAAAUCUGCAUUUAAAUCACAAUAUAUCCAUUUACAUCUAAUGGUUUGACCAGCUUAUUCGUUUUAUAGAUUCAUUUAGAAUCUUUUUUUUUUAAACCUGAAACUUUCUUUCCCUCGAUUACUCCCUAAACUGAAAUAAUAUAAAAUGCAGAGGUGAGAAGUUCUUGAUAUGCCCGGAUGUCAAAAAGCUUUAACUAUGUUACAUGCCUGAGUUAGUUGCAUUAGUAUAUGAAGUAGUAAGUGCUUGAAGUAGCAGUUACAUUGCCAUAUUUUGAACUAAUUCCAUGAAAUCUGAUUAGGUAUAGUUAAGUGACAUGGCAACUUGAGUUUUCAUUUGCUAGCAGACUGAUUUCUGGAAGGAUCUCAGAAAGGAAACGUGUCUGGAAGCUGCACAGCCUACUAAAGCAUGUGGUGAUUUGAUAUUGUCCUGAUCCCAGUUUGCCUCGAACAUGCUUUGCACGCUAAAACAUCCCUGGAGAAGGAAAACACAGUUGGCUAUCCCAGCGUGAAUACUCUGCAAAUAUUGUUCUGGGGCCCGCACAGCCUGUGACUCACAAUGAAUAUUUUCAGCUCUGGUUCUUACAGUACAAUAGGAAAUACAAAGGAAAAUAAGUAAUUUGCUGGGGCCUAACACAGUGUGACUUGAUCAUUGUGCUUCAGAGAACAGAAGAGCUACAUUAGCAGAAGUGAAAAGUCCUUUCAAUUCAGAUUUCAUAUGCCAGAUGGCUGGCUCUUGUUCUUAUGUUUUGGUGGUGGUGGGUUUUUUGUUGUUGUUGUUAUUUUUGUUGUUGUUGUUUUUCCUUUUAUCCUACCUGUUAAGAUAGCAAAGAAUGACAUACGUUAUCUGGCUCUGCAGCCAAGUGUGUGGUCCAAAUUAUUUUCACAGAAUGCCUGGAAAAAUCUGCUUGCUUGCCUGCCUGCCUCAAUCAUUUUUCUCAACUAAUUAGAAAAGUCUGCCAAACAUUUUUGGGCUAAGGCACUAAUUAUUCUCAAACAAAUGUUUCAAUUUUGCACAAGUUAGGAAGUGUCUCUGUAUUAAAUGACUGCAUGCCAAGAUGCCAGAGUAGUCAGUCUGCUUUUGUUUAUCAGUAUGUCUGGAAGUCCUGUAGGACCAAGGAAAAAAACUUAAAAGCACCAUUUUCAAGCAGAGAUCUGUAGUGUUUGGUGAUGUUAAAGGAAAUAAUACUGCAAUACUUACUUUGUACGUGUUAGCUUUUAAUGAGAAAUAGGUCUAUUUUCCUUCUGGAAAUGCUGUUUCUUGUGAUGUUUGUAAUUGCAUUGGUCCUCAGAUUCUGUUGUUUCUGGCAGAGAAUAAAAGGAAAUCUUGUAGUUUUUCGUGCCAGACUGGCCUAUCUAACCCUGUCUCAGCUUUUAUGGCCCAGUCUUCAACACCCUAUUUCAGCAUUAAAGAAGAUGGUCCCUCGUGGCAAGGGCAUUGGAGAGUCAUUCUUUGUAAAAGUUCAAGUUGAAUUUGGCAAUCUGAAGAAAUUUGAAUGGUUUAAUGAGGCCUAUAGCUUGUUUUCCAAGUAAUGGUCUGGACCUGGAUUCUGUGUUUCCCUUCUCGGAAGUGGUGGUGAUCUUCUGGAACAGUCUCAUCCUACCUCAGGUCUGGAAAUGUAUUGGCCAUGCUGAUUUAUUUGUGACAAGGUUCACAGUCUGAUAGUUUGUUAUGUCAGUGAUAAGAUAUAUGCCUCUGAUUAGCUGUAUCUCUGCUGAUGCUGCUAAACUUCUGCCAUCUGUCUUUCAAAUUGUUUGUUCUCAUCCCAAAAGUUGCUCUGUAAGAUGAUGGUAGAUUGCAAUACUUAGGAGUCUUUUUGACUUCUGUUGGAUCUGCCCAUGUAUAACCAACAAAAAAUAGUUUCCACCAACUGCCUUCCUCUGUUUUUUGAAAGUAGGGGAAAUGUGUUUUUUUGUUUUGUUUUGUUUUUGUUUUUCCAUGGAAAAAUACUGUUGGAGCAGCCCUCGUGUUAUUUUCCAAAGAUGACGAGAGAAACUCAACAGUUUAUUUCACAGAGUUAAGUGAAAUGAUUUACUUAUGAGCCAAUGAGUUUGUUUUUUAGAUCUGUGCUAGCACAAAAUUGCUGGAUUAAGGUGGUGGGCUUUUUAGUUUUGUUUCUUGAAGCAUAUAUUAAGGGGGAGGACAAAAUGAAAGAAUGAAACCAUCAGAAUGGCAGCAGAACUUGGAACAUUUCAUUACUUGAUUUAUUUCCAGAAGCCACCUGUGCCAAGGCAGAAAAUGUGCUUAAAUACUACAGUAUUUGUACCUCUUUGAACAAUUAUUCAUAUUAGGGUAAUUAAGUAGUCAUAAUUUGUAUUUGAAUAAUGGAUUAUAUGUGUUUUCUUUGCAAUAUUUCCCUUCCUUCUUUAGGGAAAAUAUUGAAUCUGGUUUGUGAGUGCUUUCUACCAUUAAUUACUUUUUGCCCUGAUCUGCACCCACUGGCUUAAUUGCCAUCUGUCUGCUUAGUGUGCAGUGUGUGCUUUUUUAAAAUAAAAAAAAAAAAUAAAAUGUAAAUUGUUUGUAAAGAGGAGAUGCAUCACGUGACUCUGAAAAGAGUUGGCUCUGGACAAUGCUGGCUGCUCCUGGCAGUGGCUGUGCUACAGGAGUGCAUGCAGACAGAAGAUGUCAAGUGAAGACAUUGCAAAUAUGGCAUUCCUGAUUCUUUAGCAUGAUGUAGAACAAAAGACAAAGGGGCUGUGAAUCCUAGAGUGUCUCUCACGGUUCAGUCCAUAGUCAUCUCCUACAUGGCAAGGAAGCUUUUAAGAAAACAGAGCUUAGAAAACUUUUCUUUUUCUAUUUUGUUCAUUUCCUUCUUGUCCUUCCAGUGCACAGUUAUUUGCUAGAUAAUUCUCCCUGCUGGUUUCAAGUCGAUCCUUUUGAGUGCAUGAAUCUUUCUUUUCAACAUCAGUCACGCAGUCUAAACCUUGUGCUGACCUCUAAAUGUACUAAACAUUUGGUAACCCUUCUUGGCCUUCUUGACAUUUGGAUGUCUGUGGAUUUAGCCUUCUCUUGAGGGGCAGAGGAACACGAUGGAGGAUCUGAAUUUGUUCAAGGUGGUAGCUGUUAUCCAAGACCAGCAGAGACCUGGUGGCAGCAAGAAUGUCAAGAUACCUAUAGCCAUGUAGAGGUAGCUGCCCAUAGAUGACUUGGAUCUUCAUUUUUUUGUGUGAAAUUGAAAUUUAUGGAUGUCCUCAGAGCAUGUUCUUUCUAGAUGAAAGAGUUGAUGAAGCUUCAAAAGUGGUUCCAUACUCUAGGAGAUGUGUGAUAGUACUGUCCUGGUUUGAGCAACCUGAACUGCAGAUGUCACUCUUCGUGGGAACUCAACCCUUUUGUUGCCUGCAGCAUCGGACUGCACAAACUACACAAUUCUUUACCCCAUGGAAGUGUCAGGAGGAAAUGUGGGCUGUGAUGAUCAAAAACAAAAGACUCUUUGGGAUCUUCGACCUUGUGCAAUUAAAGGUCUCCCUUCAAUACCUACUUCAUCAUUUAAUGUCUGUGGUGCCAAUAAUGUGCUGGUGCUUUGGUAUGGUAUCAACUCCAAGGGAAGAGUGCCACCUACUGAACUACCAGUUCUCUAUUUUGUGACAUAUAUAUCUGCCAGUUUUUCACCCAAAAUACUGACCAAAUCCUGUCUUGUGUAAGACAUGCAAUAUCAAGGCCUUGACAUGGCAUAUCCAAAUGUGUGAUGUUCCCAGUGUGGAUGAGAUCACUGUGCUGUGGCACUUGGAAACAUAAUCCUUUCCUCCUUUGUGGAUGUUUGAACGUGGAUUUUAACACGAUAAUUAUAAAAGACUGCAAUAAAAAUGAAGUUAGUAACAACCCACAUAAUGUUACUGUUAUCUGACCCUGAUUUGAACUCUCCACUGCUAUAAAAGCUAAAAUAUACUGCUAAUGAUUUCUUUGAAAAUAUGCUAAUAAUUAAUGCAUUAUUUCAG